rnacentral:rRNA from 1 species
CCUACGGGAGGCAGCAGUGAGGAAUAUUGGUCAAUGGACGAGAGUCUGAACCAGCCAAGUAGCGUGAAGGAUGACUGCCCUCUGGGUUGUAAACUUCUUUUAUAAGGGAAUAAAACGGGGAGAGUAUCCCUUCUUGUAUGUACUUUAUGAAUAAGGAUCGGCUAACUCCGUGCCAGCAGCCGCGGUAAUACGGAGGAUCCGAGCGUUAUCCGGAUUUAUUGGGUUUAAAGGGAGCGUAGGUGGGUUGUUAAGUCAGUUGUGAAAGUUUGCGGCUCAACCGUAAAAUUGCAGUUGAUACUGGCAGUCUUGAGUACAGUAGAGGUGGGCGGAAUUCGAGGUGUAGCGGUGAAAUGCUUAGAUAUCACGAAGAACUCCGAUUGCGAAGGCAGCUCACUGGACUGUAACUGACACUGAUGCUCGAAAGUGUGGGUAUCAAACAGGAGUAGAUACCCGUGUAGUC